rnacentral:snoRNA from 1 species
UUCCAUCGUUCUUUGUCAGGAUGUCUUCCUCAGCGUGCAUUCGUGCCGCUGCCAAACGGAGAGGUCUGUUACAACUUUGGUAGAUUGAGUAUCCCGACUUCGAUUUCGGCACGUCUUGUGCUGAAUAUCUUUCCGUCCACACCGUCGUUUUGGCGGGGGACACUCAAUGGGAUUUUGUGUUUCGUUUGAGUUGAAAUUCGAGGAUGGACAUUUUAGUUCCAUCAUAACCCGAGUCUCGAAUUUCUUAGUUACGCUUCAUACACUU